GCUACCAUGCAGUCGAGCGAUGAAGCCCCUUCGGGAGUGGAUUAGCGGCGGACGGGUGAGUAACACGUGGGUAACCUGCCUCAAAGAGGGGGAUAGCCUCCCGAAAGGGAGAUUAAUACCGCAUAACAAGUAACUUCCGCAUGGAAGUAACUUUAAAGGAGAAAUCCGCUUUGAGAUGGACCCGCGGCGCAUUAGCUAGUUGGUAGGGUAACGGCCUACCAAGGCAACGAUGCGUAGCCGACCUGAGAGGGUGAUCGGCCACAUUGGAACUGAGAGACAGUCCAGACUCCUACGGGAGGCAGCAGUGGGGAAUAUUGCACAAUGGGCGAAAGCCUGAUGCAGCAACGCCGCGUGAGUGAAGAAGGUUUUCGGAUUGUAAAGCUCUGUCUUUGGGGACGAUAAUGACGGUACCCAAGGAAGAAGCCACGGCUAACUACGUGCCAGCAGCCGCGAUAAUACGUAGGUGGCAAGCGUUGUCCGGAAUUACUGGGCGUAAAGAGUGCGUAGGCGGAUAUUUAAGUGAGAUGUGAAAUACCCGGGCUUAACCCGGGCACUGCAUUUCAAACUGGAUAUCUAGAGUGCAGGAGAGGAGAACGGAAUUCCUAGUGUAGCGGUGAAAUGCGUAGAUAUUAGGAAGAACACCAGUGGCGAAGGCGGUUCUCUGGACUGUAACUGACGCUGAGGCACGAAAGCGUGGGUAGCAAACAGGAUUAGAUACCCUGGUAGUCCACGCCGUAAAC
rnacentral:rRNA from 1 species